rnacentral:rRNA from 1 species
CCUACGGGUGGCAGCAGUGAGGAAUCUUGGUCAAUGGCCGGAAGGCUGAACCAGCCAUGCCGCGUGAAGGUCAGUGCCCUAUGGGCGUUAAACUUCUUUUGUGCGGGAGCAAUAAUGGUCACGUGUGGCCAGACGAGAGUACCGUACGAAUAAGCAUCGGCUAACUCCGUGCCAGCAGCCGCGGUAAUACGGGGGAUGCAAGCGUUAUCCGGAUUUAUUGGGUUGAAAGGGUGCGUAGGCUGGGAGGUAAGUCAGCGGUGAAAUGCCCCCGCUCAACGGGGUGAAGUGCCAUUGAUACUGCCUGGCUGGAAUGCGGAUGCGGUGGGAGGAAUGUGUGGUGUAGCGGUGAAAUGCAUAGAUAUCACACAGAACACCAAUUGCGAAGGCAUCUCACGAAUCCGCGAUUGACGCUGAUGCACGAAAGCGUGGGUAUCAAACGGGAUUAGAUACCCUUGUAGUC